ACAUUCGCUGCUUAAUAAAUAUUUGUUGCCUGAGAUGCGUGCUGCUGGCAUGACCAAAAUGUGAGACGUUAGCGACAUCUGCUGGGGAUAUGGUGAUGGUGUGCAGAAUUUAAGUCAGAAAUGCAUGUUUUUGAAGGGCUGAGUUAAAUCAAAUGCCACAAUGGGGCACUGUUGGAAGCUUACGUCUACAGUGAUGAGGCCAUGGCUUUGCAGCUCUUCCUUACCAGGAUGUGGUCCAGUGGGUUAUUGUUCUCCUACAAUAUAAUGCAGCCUUGUUUUUUUUAAAAUACAGAAAUCAAGAAGAUGGAAAAGGAGCUGAACGGGGGAAAGCUGAGGUUUGCACAGAGCCAGUCCAGGGAGUGUGGUUCCGGAACGGGUGGAGCUUCUGGUGUAGUGGAUGUGGACUUUCUGGCCUGGAUCUCCUCUCUCCUCCUCACGUAAGUAACUCUUCUUCAUGCCCCAGGUCUCAGCACCCCCAGGAAACCUGCACUGGCCCCUCUAGCCUACACCAGAUUCCCCCCAACCAAGCACCCUCGUAACACCUGGGUUUACCCCUCUCCAACCAAG
rnacentral:lncRNA from 1 species